rnacentral:rRNA from 1 species
AGCGAACGCUGGCGGCAGGCUUAACACAUGCAAGUCGAACGCAUCCUUCGGGGUGAGUGGCAGACGGGUGAGUAACACGUGGGAACGUACCCUUUGGUUCGGAAUAACACAGGGACACUUGUGCUAAUGCCGGAUACGCCCUUUUGGGGAAAGGUUUACUGCCGAAGGAUCGGCCCGCGUCUGAUUAGCUAGUUGGUGGGGUAACGGCCUACCAAGGCGACGAUCAGUAGCUGGUCUGAGAGGAUGAUCAGCCACACUGGGACUGAGACACGGCCCAGACUCCUACGGGAGGCAGCAGUGGGGAAUAUUGGACAAUGGGCGCAAGCCUGAUCCAGCCAUGCCGCGUGAGUGAUGAAGGCCUUAGGGUUGUAAAGCUCUUUUGUCCGGGACGAUAAUGACGGUACCGGAAGAAUAAGCCCCGGCUAACUUCGUGCCAGCCGCCGCAGUAAGAC